CGGGACACGUGGUAUCCUGUCUGAAUAUGGGGGGACCAUCCUCCAAGGCUAAAUACUCCUGACUGACCGAUAGUGAACCAGUACCGUGAGGGAAAGGCGAAAAGAACCCCGGCGAGGGGAGUGAAAAAGAACCUGAAACCGUGUACGUACAAGCAGUGGGAGCACGCUUAGGCGUGUGACUGCGUACCUUUUGUAUAAUGGGUCAGCGACUUAUAUUCUGUAGCAAGGUUAACCGAAUAGGGGAGCCGAAGGGAAACCGAGUCUUAACUGGGCGUUAAGUUGCAGGGUAUAGACCCGAAACCCGGUGAUCUAGCCAUGGGCAGGUUGAAGGUUGGGUAACACUAACUGGAGGACCGAACCGACUAAUGUUGAAAAAUUAGCGGAUGACUUGUGGCUGGGGGUGAAAGGCCAAUCAAACCGGGAGAUAGCUGGUUCUCCCCGAAAGCUAUUUAGGUAGCGCCUCGUGAAUUCAUCUCCGGGGGUAGAGCACUGUUUCGGCAAGGGGGUCAUCCCGA
rnacentral:rRNA from 3 species